UCUGUGUAUAAUACCAUUCUCCCCAGGUCCCUCUCUCUGUGUAUAAUACCAUUCUCCCCAGGUCCAGUCCCUCUCUCUGUGUAUAAUACCAUUCUCCCCAGGUCCAGUCCCUCUCUGUGUAUAAUACCAUUCUCCCCAGGUCCCUCUCUGUGUAUAAUACCAUUCUCCCCAGGUCCCUCUCUGUGUAUAAUACCAUUCUCCCCAGGUCCCUCUCUGUGUAUAAUACCAUUCUCCCCAGGUCCAGUCCCUCUCUCUGUGUAUAAUACCAUUCUCCCCAGGUCCCUCUCUGUGUAUAAUACCAUUCUCCCCAGGUCCAGUCCCUCUCUCUGUGUAUAAUACCAUUCUCCCCAGGUCCCUCUCUCUGUGUAUAAUACCAUUCUCCCCAGGUCCAGUCCCUCUCUCUGUGUAUAAUACCAUUCUCCCCAGGUCCCUCUCUCUGUGUAUAAUACCAUUCUCCCCAGGUCCAGUCCCUCUCUCUGUGUAUAAUACCAUUCUCCCCAGGUCCCUCUCUCUGUGUAUAAUACCAUUCUCCCCAGGUCCAGUCCCUCUCUCUGUGUAUAAUACCAUUCUCCCCAGGUCCCUCUCUCUGUGUAUAAUACCAUUCUCCCCAGGUCCAGUCCCUCUCUCUGUGUAUAAUACCAUUCUCCCCAGGUCCCUCUCUCUGUGUAUAAUACCAUUCUCCCCAGGUCCCCCUCUCUGUGUAUAAUACCAUUCUCCCCAGGUCCAGUCCCUCUCUCUGUGUAUAAUACCAUUCUCCCCAGGUCCCUCUCUGUGUAUAAUACCAUUCUCCCCAGGUCCCUCUCUGUGUAUAAUACCAUUCUCCCCAGGUCCCUCUCUCUGUAUAU